rnacentral:rRNA from 1 species
GACGAACGCUGGCGGCGUGCUUAACACAUGCAAGUCGAACGGAAAGGCCCUGCUUUUGUGGGGUGCUCGAGUGGCGAACGGGUGAGUAACACGUGAGUAACCUGCCCUUGACUUUGGGAUAACUUCAGGAAACUGGGGCUAAUACCGGAUAGGAGCUCCUGCUGCAUGGUGGGGGUUGGAAAGUUUCGGCGGUUGGGGAUGGACUCGCGGCUUAUCAGCUUGUUGGUGGGGUAGUGGCUUACCAAGGCUUUGACGGGUAGCCGGCCUGAGAGGGUGACCGGCCACAUUGGGACUGAGAUACGGCCCAGACUCCUACGGGAGGCAGCAGUGGGGAAUAUUGCACACUGGGCGGAAGCCUGAUGCAGCAACGCCGCGUGCGGGAUGACGGCCUUCGGGUUGUAACCCGCUUUCGCCUGUGACGAAGCGUGAGUGACGGUAAUGGGUAAAGAAGCACCGGCUAACUACGUG